rnacentral:rRNA from 1 species
UCUGGCCAUAGUGGGUGAUAGCCCCGUAACCGAAACCUGAGUGUUGUGAAAUCGAGUAGGUCGAGGCACGUGAAACCUUGACUGAAGACGGGGGGACCAUCCUCCAAGGCUAAAUACUCCUGACUGACCGAUAGUGAACCAGUACCGUGAGGGAAAGGCGAAAAGAACCCCGGAGAGGGGAGUGAAAUAGAUCCUGAAACCGUAUGCGUACAAGCAGUGGGAGCCAACUUGUUUGGUGACCGCGUACCUUUUGUAUAAUGGGUCAGCGACUUAUUUUCAGUGGCGAGCUUAACCGUAUAGGGGAGGCGUAGAGAAAUCGAGUCUUAACUGGGCGACCAGUCGCUGGAAAUAGACCCGAAACCGGGCGAUCUAUCCAUGAGCAGGUUGAAGGUUGAGUAACAUCAACUGGAGGACCGAACCAGGAUCUGUUGAAAAAGAUUUGGAUGACUUGUGGAUCGGAGUGAAAGGCUAAUCAAGCCCGGAGAUAGCUGGUUCUCCUCGAAAGCUAUUUAGGUAGCGCCUCACGUAUCACCGCCGGGGGUAGAGCACUGUUUCGGCUAGGGGGUCAUCCCGACUUACCAACCCGAGGCAAACUCCGAAUACCGGUGAGUGCAAGCGUGGGAGACACACAGCGGGUGCUAACGUCCGUUGUGAAAAGGGAAACAACCCAGACCGUCAGCUAAGGUCCCGAAAUCCUGGUUAAGUGGGAAACGAUGUGGGAAGGCUUAGACAGCUAGGAGGUUGGCUUAGAAGCAGCCAUCCUUUAAAGAAAGCGUAAUAGCUCACUAGUCGAGUCGGCCUGCGCGGAAGAUGUAACGGGGCUCAAACCAGGUACCGAAGCUACGGGUUCGCCGAAUGGCGAGCGGUAGAGGAGCGUCGUGUAAGCCG